rnacentral:rRNA from 1 species
UACGGAGGGUGCAAGCGUUGUCCGGAUUUAUUGGGUUUAAAGGGUGCGUAGGUGGCCUUAUAAGUCAGUGGUGAAAGCCUGCAGCUUAACUGUAGGACUGCCAUUGAUACUGUAGGGCUUGAGUACUGAUGAGGUAGGCGGAAUUGAUAGUGUAGCGGUGAAAAUGCAUAGAUAUUAUCAAGAACACCGAUUGCGAAGGCAGCUUACUAAGGAGUUACUGACACUGAGGCACGAAAGCGUGGGGAUCAAACAGG